rnacentral:lncRNA from 1 species
AAAAAGUACAACCCAGUAUAAUCCCACUUAGUGGGGUCUGGGGAGGGUAGUAUGUACGCAGACCUUACCCCUACCCUGGGGUAGAGAGGUUGUUUCCAAAUAGACCCCCGGCAUCCUUCCCUCCAAGGACUUCCCACCUUUGCUCUUGGGGAGACUCGAACUCACAACCUCUCGGUUGGAAGUGGGGGUUGCUUACCAUCGGAGCAAGCCCCUCUUGUC